UACGUAGGUGGCAAGCGUUGUCCGGAUUUAUUGGGUUUAAAGGGUGCGUAGGCGGUCAUGUAAGUCAGCGGUGAAAUCCGGCAGCUCAACUGUCGAUGUGCCAUUGAUACUGCAUGACUUGAGUACUGAUGAGGUAGGCGGAAUUGACGGUGUAGCGGUGAAAAUGCUUAGAUAUCGUCAAAGAACACCGAUAGCGAAGGCAGCUUACUAAGCAGUAACUGACGCUGAUGCACGAAAGUGUGGGGAUCAAAACAGGA
rnacentral:rRNA from 1 species